UUGGAUGAUGUGAUGCUGCGCUGCUACUGGAGACUGAUGCUGGAUUGGACUGGACACUGGUCAGGCUUGAUGAUGAUGAUGAUGAAGAUGUGGAUGAAGAACAUGGAGAUCAACUGAAAUGGAUGGCGAGCUACCCAGAAAUGCGAAGGAGAAAUAGCAGCUAAGACACACACACAGGCCGCAAGCCUGGCUGACAACCAGGUGGUGUGGUAGAACUUUCCUUCACCAUUUAGCCUGUUACCCAUUUACUUAAGUGACUAGUAGCAAUUAUUUCCUGGAGUUGUGCAAUAUUAUUAUACUUGAAUCAUGGUUAUUAAGGUAUUUAUUAUUCACCGAGUAUGUGUGUGAAACUGGUAUUGGGAAAUGUAUUUUGCAAUGAGUAUUUAACUGAAUGAGUGUGUUCUGACUGAGUUGAUUCACCUCAGUUAAAUUUAAAGCUGCCUUGAGAACUGUGAACAUUCCUGAUAGUAUACUAUAUACUAUAUUGCAUUGAACUUUUGUAAAUAUUUUCCCUCUAAAAGGCCUUUAUUUUGGUUAAUCACUUUCUUUAAUUAUCAUUAAUUCACUUUAAAGUUCUGUUGUAUAUAUCUUGUCAAUACACAUUUCAUCUUUGCAA